rnacentral:rRNA from 1 species
CUCCUUUGACGUUAGCGGCGGACGGGUGAGUAACACGUGGAUAACCUACCUAUAAGACUGGGAUAACUUCGGGAAACCGGAGCUAAUACCGGAUAACAUAUUGAACCGCAUGGUUCAAUAGUGAAAGGCGGCUUUGCUGUCACUUAUAGAUGGAUCCGCGCCGUAUUAGCUAGUUGGUAAGGUAACGGCUUACCAAGGCAACGAUACGUAGCCGACCUGAGAGGGUGAUCGGCCACACUGGAACUAGACACGGUCCAGACUCCUACGGGAGGCAGCAGUAGGGAAUCUUCCGCAAUGGGCGAAAGCCUGACGGAGCAACGCCGCGUGAGUGAUGAAGGUCUUCGGAUCGUAAAACUCUGUUAUCAGGGAAGAACAAAUGUGUAAGUAACUGUGCACAUCUUGACGGUACCUGAUCAGAAAGCCACGGCUAACUACGUGCCAGCAGCCGCGGUAAUACGUAGGUGGCAAGCGUUAUCCGGAAUUAUUGGGCGUAAAGCGCGCGUAGGCGGUUUCUUAAGUCUGAUGUGAAAGCCCACGGCUCAACCGUGGAGGGUCAUUGGAAACUGGAAAACUUGAGUGCAGAAGAGGAAAGUGGAAUUCCAUGUGUAGCGGUGAAAUGCGCA